rnacentral:rRNA from 1 species
UGCGUAGGGUGCGAGCGUUAAUCGGAAUUACUGGGCGUAAAGCGUGCGCAGGCGGUUAUUUAAGUCAGGUGUGAAAGCCCUGGGCUUAACCUAGGAAUUGCGCUUGAGACUGGAUAGCUUGGAGUGCGGCAGAGGGAGGUGGAAUUCCACGUGUAGCAGUGAAAUGCGUAGAUAUGUGGAGGAAUACCGAUGGCGAAGGCAGCCCCCUGGGAUAACACUGACGCUCAUGCACGAAAGCGUGGGGAGCAAACAGG